rnacentral:lncRNA from 1 species
UUAUAAAAAGGCAAAAAAAAUCAGCCCAUUUCUCCCAUAGUGAUCAGCCAAACCAGAAGAGAAGAGAAACCAAGGAAGAACAAACCCUAGGUGGGAAAAAUCAAAGAGAAAGUGUUGGAAUUCAAGGAUUUAAUCAAGCAAAGGUAAAAUUUCUUUGAUUUUGCUAGUGAUUUACCUUACCCAUGCAUUUUUCCUUAAUUUCCAUGGUUAAAUUACAUGUUUUCAUGAUGAAUCAUGGCUGGUCAAAAUGGGUAUGGAGAGAGAAUGAUCUUCGAUUGGUUUGAUUUUUAGGUAUGUUAGUGUUUUUAGGUGAUUAAUGAUGUGUAACAUGAAAACAAAUGAAGAAAACCACCAAAGGUUUGGUGCUCAUCAAUACUCGAAUUCUCUAAGUGAAUAAUGAGGAAAAAUGGGAUGUUAUUCUAGGUGAUUUGAUUAAGAAAUAAUAGUUUUUGGUGAAUUGAGGAAUUGGAAAAGAAAUAGAGCAAAUUGGAGUGAAAUUGGGUGCAUUGGCCAAUUUAUCGGAUGAAAAAUCGACUUAGGCCAAUACUGGGUCUACAUGGCUAUCCGUGCAUUUUUCAUUUCAUAUCACAGAUAUUUAUUGAGCCUGAAACAGCUUGUGACUGUUCGACACAAUUUAAUUGGAAUAUGUGUCAUGGAUUAUGGCUAGGUGGUGAGCCAUUGGAUACGGGUAAAGGACUGUACCCGCAGACUAAAAAUAGGAGUAUUUCUACUCCUAAUAUUGUGAGUGAACUUAUUAUCAUCUUAAUUAUCUAGAGUAGUUUUAAACAAUUGUGUGAUUUUAUAGAAAAGAGGUUUAAAUGGUAAAUUGCUAUGUUUUAGGAGAAAUUGUGAUUUUAUAAAAUGAUUUAAUAAAUUUUUUGAAAAAUUGAAUACUAGUUUUGAAAAUAGAGUAAUUGGAGACUGCCUGCUUGUGUUAUAAAUUGUGUUUUUAAUUAUAUGGCUUAUAACAAUAUGUGAGCAUGAAUGGCAAAGUCGGUGUUUGUAUCAAAAUUAUAUAUACUAUGUAUUCAGCCUUGAGAGGCUAGAUUACGAUAAAUUGCUAUGUCAUGCAAAUAAGGAUUUUAUAAAUCAGGUGGUAGAUAAAAUAAAGAUUAGCUACUACAGUGGCAGGGUUUCGUAGACCAGCCUAUUAGAGGGGCACGGUAAACUCCUUUAUAUUCUCACCUCGGUCGUAGAGGCGCGUAGGGUAUCUCUUGAGGUGGGCUUUUUGAGUGCACUUCACGAGGACCACCGCGUGAGAGUGAGACUCAGUCAACGUCAAGGCAUGGCUAGAAUUUCGGAUGUAAAGAUAUUUAAUAGCCUUGGUGGUCUCAAUCAGAUGUCUAGGCCAAGGCAUCCCUGGGAAUGCUUUUGGCAGGAGCCAAGUUUUGUGAGAUAUAUAAGCCAUGUUGAUUAAUUGAGUAAACUGAAUAUUCAUGUUAUGAAACAUAUAUUGGAAAAGAAUAUUUUAAUUCGUCUCCAUUUACUCGCCUUUAGAUAGUUUAGAUGGUGUCUGUUUACUCACUGGGAUUAUGUAAUCAUAAUCUCACCCCUCUUCCUAUCCAUUUUUCAGGCUCAUGACAGUUUGUUGAUAGUUGAUUAAGACAAGAAUUAAUCUCGGAGUUGCAUCCUAGAAAGUAAGGGUUCAUAGCCCUACACCUUCU